rnacentral:rRNA from 1 species
AGAGUUUGAUCCUGGCUCAGAUUGAACGCUGGCGGCAUGCCUUACACAUGCAAGUCGAACGGCAGCACGGGAGCAAUCCUGGUGGCGAGUGGCGAACGGGUGAGUAAUAUAUCGGAACGUGCCCAGUCGUGGGGGAUAACGUAGCGAAAGCUACGCUAAUACCGCAUACGAUCUACGGAUGAAAGCGGGGGACUCGUAAGGGCCUCGCGCGAUUGGAGCGGCCGAUAUCAGAUUAGGUUGUUGGUGAGGUAAAAGCUCACCAAGCCUGCGAUCUGUAGCUGGUCUGAGAGGACGACCAGCCACACUGGAACUGAGACACGGUCCAGACUCCUACGGGAGGCAGCAGUGGGGAAUUUUGGACAAUGGACGCAAGUCUGAUCCAGCAAUGCCGCGUGCAGGACGAAGGCCUUCGGGUUGUAAACUGCUUUUGUACGGAACGAAACGGUCUGCUUUAAUACAGCGGGCUAAUGACGGUACCGUAAGAAUAGA